rnacentral:lncRNA from 10 species
GGUGCUCACUGCUGUUUAAAAGCCAUUCCUACUGUGGCCAGUUGUGACUGCCUGAGACCAAAUAUUCUCAAGUUCCAGAGGCUGCGAGGUCUGAGAUCAAGGAUCUGACACCUGGUGAGGGCCUUUUUGCUGCAUCAUUUCACAUAGAGACAAAAAGACAAAGAGGAGGACACACAAGAGAGAAAACCAGGUAAAGACAGAAGCAGAUACUGGACUCAUACAGCCUCAAGGCAAGAAACAUCUGGAGACACUAGAAGAUUGAAGUGGCAAUAAAAGAUUCUCACCUAUUGCCUUUGGAGAUGUUGUGGCCCUGAGGACAUCUUAAUUUUAGGUUUCUGUUCUGUAGAAUUAUGAGAGAAUAAAUUUCUGUUGUUUUAAGCCAGUAGGUUUGAGUUAAAUUUUUAUGUGAACCUGGAAUACUGACACAGCUUGAAUCUGGUAGUUCUUCAAAAUCAUAUGAAGCUGUUCUUCAGUGAUGACAGGAGGGCUUGAGUUCACAAAAAUUGAGUAACGAUGAUAUUUGUACUCCAGGUCAUUUAGUUACCACCAGCCAGUAGAAAACUGUACUUGGCAAUGACCAACCCACCCUACACCUCCAUAGCCCUCAGCUGUGUUAGGGUGACUGCAAUCACCCACAUGCAUGGCAACUGCCUCCGCAAGAGAUCCACCGUUCUGUACUGUGAGCUCACUGAACCUUCCUUAUGCUUAUCAUGGCUCAGAAAUUACUGACAAAAUAUUGCAAUGGCUCUGAUUUUUUAAUUUGAACUGUAAAAUACAAUAUUAACAAAAUCCAAAAAGUUUAAAAAUUAAAGAGUUAGUCAUCGUGUUUGUGAAGCAGUUCCUUUCUCGGAUCAUCUGAAAAGUAGAUUAUAAUUAUUCAGUGGAAUAGUAGGAAAGUUAAGGCUACAAUGCAUGUCACCUCUCUAAUCUGAAAUCUCAGAGUUUUGAUGUGUUAUUUGGUUUUGUCACAGAUAUUUGGUUCAAUGGGAAAUAAUCCUUCCUAGAAAUUUAUUCUUGGCUAAAAAGUUGCUUUGCUCCUUCUUUGUAAUAUUAGAAGUCACCAGAUUUUGUCAAGUCCCUAGGUGAAGAGGGCUUUAAUUCUGAGAAAUCCCAUAAAAGCUUAGUAUAAGUACAGUGAGAACAUAAAUCUACAUAAAUCUUAGUAAAUAAAAUAAUCUCAAAGGUACAAUUUCCUAGUCUGUAAAAAGAAUAUGGAAACGACACCUACCUUGUAGGAAUCUUUGCAAGAUAACUUUGAAAAUUAGGUGAU